UGGGGAAUAUUGGACAAUGGGCGCAAGCCUGAUCCAGCCAUGCCGCGUGCAGGAUGACGGUCCUAUGGAUUGUAAACUGCUUUUGUACAGGAAGAAACAGUUCUACGUGUAGAACCUUGACGGUACUGUAAGAAUAAGGAUCGGCUAACUCCGUGCCAGCAGCCGCGGUAAUACGGAGGAUCCAAGCGUUAUCCGGAAUCAUUGGGUUUAAAGGUCCGUAGGCGGUUAGAUAAGUCAGUGGUGAAAGCCCAUCGCUCAACGGUGGAACGGCCAUUGAUACUGUCUGACUUGAAUUAUUAGGAAGUAACUAGAAUAUGUAGUGUAGCGGUGAAAUGCUUAGAGAUUACAUGGAAUACCAAUUGCGAAGGCAGGUUACUACUAAUGGAUUGACGCUGAUGGACGAAAGCGUGGGUAGCAAACAGGAUUAGAUACCCCAGUAGUCCCUG
rnacentral:rRNA from 1 species